GCCUGGGUGGCUUAGUAGGUUGAGCAUCCAACUUCGGCUCAGGUCAUGAUCUCACAGUUUGUGGGUUCGAGCCCCACAUCAGGCU
rnacentral:tRNA from 1 species